AACGCGAAGAACCUUACCUGGGCUCGAAAUGUAGUGGACCGGGGUAGAAAUAUCCCUUCCUAGCAAUAGGCUGCUAUAUAGGUGCUGCAUGGCUGUCGUCAGCUCGUGUCGUGAGAUGUUGGGUUAAGUCCCGCAACGAGCGCAACCCUUAUCCCUAGUUGCUACCGGGUCAAGCCGAGCACUCUAGUGAAACUGCCUCGGAUAACGAGGAGGAAGGUGGGGAUGACGUCAAGUCCUCAUGGCCUUUAUGUCCAGGGCUACACACGUGCUACAAUGGUCGGUACAAACCGUCGCAAACCCGCGAGGGGGAGCUAAUCGGAAAAAGCCGACCUCAGUUCGGAUUGGAGUCUGCAACUCGACUCCAUGAAGCUGGAAUCGCUAGUAAUCGCGGAUCAGAACGCCGCGGUGAAUACGUUCCCGGGCCUUGUACACACCGCGCAUA
rnacentral:rRNA from 1 species